GAUGAACGCUAGCGGAGGCUUAAUACAUGCAAGUCGAGCGGCAAGUUUUGAUAGCAAUAUUGGAACCUAGAGCGGCGCACGGGUGAGUAACGCGUACAUGACCUGCCCUAUACUGGGGGAUAGUCUUGGGAAACUGAGAAUAAUCCCGCAUGUGAUUAGAAUGCUGCAUGGCAAAUUAAUUAAAGCUGAGGCGGUAUAGGAUGGGUGUGCGUCUGAUUAGCUAGUUGGUAGUGUAACGGACUACCAAGGCGAUGAUCAGUAGGGGGCGUGAGAGCGUGACCCCCCACACGGGUACUGAGACACGGACCCGACUCCUACGGGAGGCAGCAGUAAGGAAUAUUGGGCAAUGGUCGAAAGACUGACCCAGCCAUGCCGCGUGCAGGAUGAAGGCCCUAUGGGUUGUAAACUGCUUUUAGCCGGGAAUAAACACCCGUUUUAUAACGGGCCCGAAGGUACCGGCUGAAUAAGCAUCGGCUAACUCCGUG
rnacentral:rRNA from 1 species